ensembl:lncRNA
CUUGAGAGCUCAUUAAACCUAAUCUCAUAUCACUUGUAGGCAGCAGAAAGCUGAAUCAGCUAAGGACUGGUCCAGACUUUGAACCAUGUAAGUCUGAGACUGAUCUUCCCUUAGAAGAGGCUCCACUGGCCUCAGCUUAUUGUAAACUCUUUGGACAAGGAUGUGUAUUUGGACAGCAUCCAGCGUGGUGGGACCUUCUCUUGAAGCAUUGCCACUGUGAAAACAGUACACAAUAGCCAUCGUAUGCAACAUAUGGAAAGUUGUGAUAAGAAUGUCUUUCAAGCCUCUUAAUUAGAUGUGAUUUGUUGGCCAAAGGAGCACUUCAGAGGUGAGCAGCUUCGGCAUUUGCUGCACCUUAAGGGAUGGGGUGAAGGAGCAAAAGCCCAAAGGGCCUCUGGUGAGCAUUUGUGUCAGCCCAGCAGUGCAAGAGGUG